rnacentral:rRNA from 1 species
UACGUAGGGUGCAAGCGUUGUCCGGAAUUAUUGGGCGUAAAGAGCUCGUAGGCGGUUGGUCGCGUCGGCUGUGAAAACCCGGAGCUCAACUCCGGGCCUGCAGUCGAUACGGGCAGACUAGAGUUCGGUAGGGGAGUCUGGAAUUCCUGGUGUAGCGGUGAAAUGCGCAGAUAUCAGGAGGAACACCGGUGGCGAAGGCGGGACUCUGGGCCGAUACUGACGCUGAGGAGCGAAAGCGUGGGGAGCAAACAGG